rnacentral:tRNA from 1 species
GUCCCUGUGGCAUAACUGGAUAAUGCACUGGCCUCCUAAGCCGGAGAUUCUGGGUUCGAGUCCCAGCGGGGGCA